UGGAAUCCUUUUGUCAGUCAGCAGGUAUACACACAAAUACUGCAUGUGGUUUAUUCAGAAUUUUGUGGUUUCUAUGCUUGGGUUUUUGAGUUUAGAUCAAGGUCUUUAAGUUUAGCCAGUGUCAACAUUCAUUCCAUGCUGUCUGCAUUGGAUUCCCUAUAUCAUCAAUCCACAUGGCAUUGAUCCUCCACCUUGCUUCUUCCAUGUUUAACUCUGGGUUGCAUGUUUGUAUAUGUGAGGUGAAAAUUUUUUUUUUUUUGGACCAAUUUCUGGUGGUUAUCGAAAAUAAGCUUCAUGGCAAAACCUUGUGUUGAGCUGAGGUCAGUUGUGAACCUUUUUUUCUUUCUUCCUUUUUUUUUUUCAAGGGGGAAGGGCCGGGGUGUUAAAGGGAGAGUACAAAUCAGAUAAUCAAUAUAC
rnacentral:misc_RNA from 1 species